rnacentral:misc_RNA from 1 species
UCUCCGUAGGUGAACCUGCGGAGGGAUCAUUACAGAGUUCAUGCCCUACCGGGUAGAUCUCCCACCCUAUGUUAUUAUUACUUUGUUGCUUUGGCGGGCCGUUAGGCUCCGGCCCGACUACCGGCCCCGGCUGGAAGCGCCCGCCAGAGGACCCAAAACCCUGAAUAUUAGUGUCGUCUGAGUACUAUAUAAUAGUUAAAACUUUCAACAACGGAUCUCUUGGUUCUG